rnacentral:lncRNA from 1 species
CUCAGCUGUCUUUCUAGCAUGAUGCCCUUUUUCAUCCACAUUUGUGUUUCAGGUGUAGAGAGCAGAGAGAGUGAACAGGGAGCGGGGCUUUUGUCUGUUGGUCUCCCUGGACUGAAGAAGGGGAGAAUAGAAGCCCAAGACUAUUAAGAUUCUCAAAAUGGUUUACUACCCAGAACUCUUGGUCUGGGUCAGCCAGGAGCCAUUUCCAUACAAGGAAAUGGAGGGAGGUCUUACUAAGGGAAGACUUCCUGUGCCUAAGGAAGUGAACCGCAAGAAGAUGGAUGAGCCCAUCGCUGCCUCGCUGAUUCCGCCGGGCAACCAUGAACCCGGCUCCCCAGCUAUCGGUUACCUCCACCCUUUUUAAUCGUCACACCUCCAUUUGUAUUGCAUACGGUGUAUGGGGUUUUGAUGAGGUCUUGGUAUCAUAUAUGGGAUUUUUUUUUUCUGUGUAAAUCAUCAAAUAUAAGAAGAAACUAUGGGACUCUAAGCCUGGCUUUAGAGAAUUUACAGUGGACAAAUAGGUUUCAUCAAACCAGUUUUUAAUCAUUCUGACUCAAGUGAAAACACUCAGAAUUUCACACUGUGAAUCCACGUUUACAACCCCUACAGGUGGGCCUUCAGGCCUGGUUCGCUACAACAAUGUCUUCCACAACUCAAAACUCCUACUGCGCUCACACGACCGGUCCACUCCUGCCUUUCGUCACAGCUCCCGACUGCUUCUUGCAGAGGCUGAGAGUCCCCCCCACUUUUUUUUUCAUUUAGAUGUAACAAGCCUAGUAGUUUAAGUUCAUCGAUUGUCUGUAUACCUCUAUAUUUUACCCAUGUACUCUUUUGCUGUAUAGAAGUAGUUUGAAACUCAUUGUUUCCUUGUGGUAAGUGACUGAGACGCUGCCACAGGGCCUGAGACACUGAUGAAUGGUGCUAUUUUGGACUUUCAACAUGCUCCUUGGCGAGGUAGCUCUGACGGAGUUGUUUUUAAUUUCCAUGUUCUAAGAAGGUGUUGGUACUCUGUUUCCCGGAAUGUUCUUCUCUAGACUGGACUGACUUGUUUUCCUUGUGUCUUGAGUGUGGCUUUCUUCUUCAGUGUUGUAGGCUGAGCGGAUGCUACCAAGAGUGUGAGAGGCUGUCCUCUCGUGACUGGCCCUGGGUGGAUGUGCAGUCACGGUAGCGGGAGCAAUCACAAAACUGUAAUUGACCUACCAGAACUCUUCCUUUCUGCAGCCUCACCCGCCUGACUUAGAAAAAGAAAAGCAAUAAUUUUUUUCCAGGCGUUUCGAGGUUAUUUCUUUGGAAUCUUUUUGUUUGACUAGAUAUCCUGGGGGUGGGGGGUGGGGGGGAGAGGUAAAAGGUCCUUUUUUUUUUCUUUAAUAAGUGCCCCGUGGGAAAAAUCCAAAGUACUGGCAUUUGAGUAGGAAUUUAAAAAUUAUCCCUUUCCCAAAGUUGAAAUUGGAAAAGUGUCUUUAUAAAAUAGUGAUAAUGAUGAUGGUGGUGGUGGUGGUGGUGGUGGUGGUGAUGGUGGUGAUGAAGAUGAAAAGCAAAACAACCUUUUUGAUAAGCAAGGUAUAGAUUUUACAUUUUUGUCCUUGCUCCCAAUGAAAUGGAUAAACAAAAAUAAAAUCUGACAAUGCCGUCUCUUCACGGAAUGUUGUUGUGUUAGCCGGACUGAAAGCCCACCUUAAUUUUUAUAUAACGUCUUUAGCUCUUCCUUUGACAGGGCAGGCCUUGUUCUGAACUGUUUGCGCUUCUGACUGUUAGACACCAAUGACGCAUGCACUGUCCCUCUCAUUCUCUCUUGCUUCCCCUCUGGCCUGAGUUUCUUGUGCAUCCUCCCUACCCCCACCUCUGUUAGGGUAGAUAUAUCAGCUAUGUAAAUAGAGCAAGGAAACGGUAUUGUGCAUUUGUGGCAUUUACGUAGAGUUGCAGUUGUACGCUGCUGAAAACGCAGGCUUUUGUAACAUGUGGUCCUUCCAUAAGUACCCAAUGUAUUUUAGCUAUUUUAGUCGUAUUUGUUCAAUAAAUAUGCAAGCUAUAAGGUAA